GUGGGGAAUAUUGGACAAUGGGCGCAAGCCUGAUCCAGCCAUGCCGCGUGGAUGAUGAAGGCCCUAGGGUUGUAAAGUCCUUUCGGCGGGGAAGAUAAUGACGGUACCCGCAGAAGAAGCCCCGGCUAACUUCGUGCCAGCAGCCGCGGUAAUACGAAGGGGGCUAGCGUUGCUCGGAAUCACUGGGCGUAAAGCGCACGUAGGCGGACUCUUAAGUCGGUGGUGAAAUCCUGGAGCUCAACUCCAGAACUGCCUUCGAUACUGAGAGUCUCGAGUCCGGGAGAGGUGAGUGGAACUGCGAGUGUAGAGGUGAAAUUCGUAGAUAUUCGCAAGAACACCAGUGGCGAAGGCGGCUCACUGGCCCGGUACUGACGCUGAGGUGCGAAAGCGUGGGGAGCAAACAGGAUUAGAAACCCUAGUAGUCC
rnacentral:rRNA from 1 species